UCAGUUUGAAGACACGGCCUCCUAUUUCAGACUCAUAGUGCAAAAUGGCAAUUCAUAUCUUUUCUCCGUAUUUCAUAUACUCAACUCAAGAUCAUCCCACAAACAACCGCACUGUCGAUAAUAAUUAGCAAAAAUCAUCAGCUUAUUCAAGAGGCCGUCUCCCAGUGCUGGACUUUACUUUAUUGGACUGGAUUAUGAAUUCUGAUUUGGAUUACGUGCCGUCGCCAGGAAGAUGAAACGUCACGUCAACAUGACCGCAGGCAAAUAAAUAGAUAUGGAUAUAUGUACAUACAUACAUAUAUAUGUGACAGGAAUCUCUGGCCUCAAGGAGUAAUAGAGGCUUUCUAAUGUACUAAAUCUCCAUUUAUUCAACCGAUGGCUUCAAAAGGUGCCUAUCCGAGUGGUAGAGAUACAGCCUUGAGAAGAACUUUUGUGCGCUCGAGGCUAGCUAGGCGUUUUUCUCGAAACUUUUUGAAGUCGGUUGGCAAGAUUUUUCGAAAACUACUCAACCGAUCUUCAUGAAAUUUUACACAGAUAUUUGAAAUACAAUUAUUAAAACUUGGACGAAGGAUUUUUUUCGAUUACAAUUAUUUGAAUUAACAUUUUUUUGAAUUUUUUUUCACUGAAUUUUUAAUUUUUUUUUUUGUAAAAAUGUCUGGCAAAAAUCGAAUUUUCAGCUUUUUCCUUCGUCAAAGUUUUGAGUUAAGGUUUUAACUAAAAUACGUAUUUCUUUUUACUUUAGAUGAUCCUGUAAAGAGUUAUCCUGCCUGUGCGGGCGCAUCUUUUUUCCGAGGGGUCACCGGAAAUGGCGUUGCAAUGGCCGAGUUUUAAAUAUUUUUUUCAAAAAUUUUAGAAUUGCUUUAUUACUAGCGUAUGCUUGUAACAAUAAAAAAUUCUAAUAAAAUAUUUAUUUUCUUAUGAGCAAAAAAUUGUUGAAAAAACACUGUUUUCUAAACCCUAAAGGAAUGCGAGUAAAUGGUGAAAAGUGAGAAAUAUAAAUAAUUCAAAACAUGUUUACUAAAAAUUUA